rnacentral:rRNA from 1 species
GAUGAACGCUGGCGGCGUGCCUAAUACAUGCAAGUCGAGCGAACGGACGAGAAGCUUGCUUCUCUGAUGUUAGCGGCGGACGGGUGAGUAACACGUGGAUAACCUACCUAUAAGACUGGGAUAACUUCGGGAAACCGGAGCUAAUACCGGAUAAUAGUGUGAACCGCAUGGUUCAAAAGUGAAAGACGGUCUUGCUGUCACUUAUAGAUGUAUCCGCGCUGCAUUAGCUAGUUGGUAAGGUAACGGCUUACCAAGGCAACGAUGCAUAGCCGACCUGAGAGGGUGAUCGGCCACACUGGAACUGAGACACGGUCCAGACUCCUACGGGAGGCAGCAGUAGGGAAUCUUCCGCAAUGGGCGAAAGCCUGACGGAGCAACGCCGCGUGAGUGAUGAAGGUCUUCGGAUCGUAAAACUCUGUUAUUAGGGAAGAACAUAUGUGUAAGUAACUGUGCACAUCUUGACGGUACCUAAUCAGAAAGCCACGGCUAACUACGUG